rnacentral:rRNA from 1 species
GACGAACCGUGCGAACGUUGUUCGGAAUCACUGGGCUUAAAGGGCGCGUAGGCGGUCUGUCAAGUCAGGGGUGAAAGCCUCCAGCUUAACUGGAGAAGUGCCUUUGAUACUGGCGGACUCGAGUGAGGUAGGGGUAGUGGGAACUUCCGGUGGAGCGGUGAAAUGCGUUGAUAUCGGAAGGAACGCCAGUGGCGAAAGCGCACUACUGGACCUCUUCUGACGCUGAGGCGCGAAAGCCAGGGGAGCAAACGGG